rnacentral:misc_RNA from 1 species
GAUGAAGAACGCAGCGAAAUGCGAUAAGUAAUGUGAAUUGCAGAACUCAGUGAAUCAUCGAAUCUUUGAACGCACAUUGCGCCCCCUGGUAUUCCGGGGGGCAUGCCUGUCCGAGCGUCAUUGCUGCCCUCAAGCACGGCUUGUGUGUUGGGCCUCCGUCCUCCUCCCGGGGGACGGGCCCGAAAGGCAGCGGCGGCACCGCGUCCGGUCCUCGAGCGUAUGGGGCUUCGUCACCCGCUCUUGUAGGCCCGGCCGGCGCUUGCCGACACAUCAAUCUUUUUUCCAGGUUGACCUCGGAUCAGGUAGGGAUACCCGCUGAACUUAAGCAUAUCAAAAGCGGAGGA